GCCCUGCAUACUGAAAUUAUUUACUCAAACCAUUACAUAUUAUAAGCGAUGUUAAACUCCGUAUAUGAAACUUGAAUAUUAUCUCUUUAUAUAGUUAGAAAAUAACCCAUGAUGUGAUUCCUACUUUACCAAAAAAACUAAACACGCGAGUCGUAUCUUGUAUUUUAGGGUGGCAUCAAAGAUAAAAUAUAGUAGGUAUUUUAAUUUUAUUUAGACAUCUUGUCAAACAUUGGUGGCUCGAUUAGCAAACUACCAGCAACAUAAUCUCCUAGCAAAGGACCAUUUCUAGGCAAGAGAGAUCUAACAUAUCACUUUUACACACAUUACAACAAAUCCAAACGCAUAUGAGUUCGAAACUAACAUUUAACUCCCACAACAUGCUUAGUCUAGGUAAAGAUACAAUCCAUGCUCAUAGAAUCCUUUAAAGCCAUCAAGUGAGCACAACAAUUUCAACUAACUCAAUAUCUUUGUAAAUAUAACUAUACUACAGAAGUUUAAAACAUGAUCCAGAUUUAACUCCAUGGACACACGUUUAACUUUCUUCUAAUGAUCUCGUAGUUUCCUUUAAACGACACAACAUUUCAAGUUAUUUUGCAAGUUGAUCUUGUAGUGAAACGACAUCAGAAUAUAUAUCUGACCCAGCACGUAGUCAUAUUUACGUGUUCAAGCAAAUGAAGAUGUUAUAGCAUUCCAUGACUGAAAGCAAGCUUUUGUCAAAUCUCAGACCUUUUAAAGAACCCUUCUGUAAUAAGAUCAAGCAGUCAACAUUUUGCAGGCCAAACAUAUACAUAUUCAAGUCAUCCUUACCACGUCUAAAAGAGAAAAAAACAACCAAAUCGACAUCGAAACGACCUCAAACAUUUUGUUGAAUAUAUUUAACAGCCAAGACAAACUAGAUUAGUAAGUUAAUGAAAUUGUUCAAAAAAAUCAAUCAACCGAUACAUACAAAUAGGUUCAGAUAUUACAAAUGACAGGAAUAAGGGAAGAAACCAGCUUUACUAAAUCUGAAGAAAAUUAGGUAAUGACACAAUUUCCAUCUCUUUUGUUUAAAGAAGGAUAAAGAAUGUGUAAGAGAGAGGGGUUAUCUUCUGAUUUUUUAGACAAUCCGAACUAUAAAUACGUUGGCAAGGAUUCACCGAACAGAUGAUCUGUGUAGCCAGAAUCUUUUUUCGUGAAUCAUUCAUGUUCUUAUACUAUUCUGACAGUGUUUUAAACUCAUAUUAUCAACCAACCACAUACAUUACAUAUUCACUUGUAAAUAGCCCAUAUGGUAUAAUAUGAGAUGGAAUAUGUGAUGAACAAAACAAGACGGGACAACUCACGUACUCUUUCUAGAACUCAACUCUACAAAAAAUGACAAGUAGGACACAAAAGGGGUUCACUGGACAGUAAAAAAUAUUCAGAGGAACAUGCUGUCCUAUCGAGAUGUCUAUGGCUUAUGUCGACAAAACAAAAUUUUCUACAUCUUGGUUAAUAUUUCUUGAUACUAUGACAUAAAAUUAUAAAUAGAUGUUGAAGAAUAGUUAAGGCACGGAAAAGGCUCCAGGCAAUAGGCUAGUAUAUCAUUGAGGGGUCGUUUGGUAGAGUGUAUUGAAACGUUAAUGCAUGCAUUAGUUUAAUGUGUAUUAGUAGUACCUUGUUUGGUAUACCUUUUUACCCUAUGUAUAAGUAAUGUGUAUUAAGAUGUGUAUUACUAAUACCUCAAAAUUCAUGGCAUUAGUAAUGCAAUGGAUCUAAUGCAUGCAUUAACAUGCUUAAAGACCUUAUUACCCCUCAGAAAAUUGUCCGCAUCCUUUCCAACAUAUAUAUUGAGGGUAUUAUGUAAAAAAAAAAAAGAAAAAAUUUAGAAAUUAUGUAAUUCAUGUUUUUUUUAAUACAUCAAACCAAACCCUCCAUAAGAAAAAUACAAGCAUAACUAAUGCAAACAUAACUAACACAAGCAUUACUAAUACACCAUAUUUUGCAUUAUUCUUAUACAUUCUACCAAACGACCCAGAAUGUUUCCAGUUGGGACACUUUAAAAAUGUUAGUUAAAAAAGAAAAAAACACAAGUACAAAACUACAACUACAGAAUAUUAGGCAUGAAUGUCAUUGUUGUUGCUUUACUUUACAGAAAAACAAACAACAAAAACAAAGAAACAAAAAGAGAAACAGUGAAGUUUGAGACUAAAAGUGGUAGUAAUAAAUGAGGAAAAUCAGAUUAUGCUCCUUAAUUCAAAGAAAGUAACAGGACACACCAACAAGGUGCCUAAUGAAGCAUAGCCUUUCAUGUCUCCACAAGAUCGUAUUCAUUACUAACAACAAAAGGGAGUGGAUUCCUUAAUAUGGAGCAUUUUAGAUAUGAAACAGACACAUACAGUGAAACCACAGAAACUUGAGACAAUCCCAUAUUUGAUUCGCAGGUGAUCAACAACAAUACUAAGACGGAGUAAGCAAUGUACAUUGACAGAAAACAUGUUCGCAUACAAAAUUAUUUUUUCCAGAGUCUACGAUAUAAACUCAAAUUUUGGUCGAAAUUCAUCAAAAAAUGACAUGUUCAUGAAAUCUAAAUGAAAUGAAAGAAAAGAUGAUGCAAGUGAACCGGAAAAGCAAAUUUGUACGUUUAGACGUAAGGCAACUGUACAUUGUAACAAAGGAAAGUCAAGGCAACAUGAUGUUCUUGAACUCAAUUUGCCAAAAGUAAAUAACGACAACAGUCUAAUUUAAAGCCAAAACAAAUCAUGCACUCUCCAAAGAAGAACACACGGGGUGAAAAGAGAUAAGAGACGAAGUAAGAGGAUGGAUUUUACGUAAUGGAUCACAUGCUCUACAUUUUCGACCAGACACAACCUUCCAAACCAAAUUGUUUACUCUAAUCUAUAGGUUAUUGCACAUUUAAAGGCAAAAACAAACCCCACACAGUGAUCAAGUUGAGUGAAUCAGAAAGCCAAAACAGAUUAUUGUUUCACAUUUUCCAUCUUCAAAGCUAAUCAGUUAACAACCCGACCAACUACACGAUACAAACUGUUUUGAAUGUGCAUUCACAGCAAACCAACUUGGGUGAAUCAGAAAGCCAAAACAGAUUAUGGUUUCAUAUUUUUUCAUCUUCAAAACCAACAGUUAACAACCCGACUACUUACACAGCAUACAAUUUGCUUCAGAUUUACAUUCAAAGCCAAGCAAAAUAAAACAGACCACUCCAAUCGAAACUUCAUAUUUAAAAUAUUCCAGCUAAACAACAAACUAAGAUAUUUCAUAAGAAUAAUACAUGGCGAACACAAUCAUAUAAUCAGAUACUGUUAUCUCAUGUUUAUGUUCAUGCUCGGCCGAAUCCCAAACGAUCAAUGAAUCAUCAAAAUAAACAUAAUAUACUUAAGACGGGAUAGAACUUACCUUGCAUGGGGCAGCAAACUAAGGCUUUCCAUCGGAGAUUCAACUCAAUGAUUUCCCACCGACUUCGAGUUCGAGUAAUGAAAAGCAACAAAGGUCGGGAGGAGAGUAAUCGUAAAUUAUGAAAAUAGAGCAAGAAAAAUUAAGGGAGCAAAGCAAUAUGGGGCUCAAGAAUCCCUCAAUUUUUUUCUAACCAUCAAUCCCCCCUCUCAAUGAA
rnacentral:lncRNA from 1 species